rnacentral:rRNA from 1 species
GAUGAACGCUGGCGGCGUGCUUAACACAUGCAAGUCGAACGAAGCAUUUGCGACAGAUUUUUUCGGAAUGAAGUUGCUUAUGACUGAGUGGCGGACGGGUGAGUAACGCGUGGGUAACCUGCCUUGUACUGGGGGAUAGCAGCUGGAAACGGCUGGUAAUACCGCAUAAGCGCACAAUGUUGCAUGACAUGGUGUGAAAAACUCCGGUGGUAUAAGAUGGACCCGCGUCUGAUUAGCUAGUUGGUGAGAUAACAGCCCACCAAGGCGACGAUCAGUAGCCGACCUGGGAGGGUGACCGGCCACAUUGGGACUGAGACACGGCCCAGACUCCUACGGGAGGCAGCAGUGGGGAAUAUUGCACAAUAGAGGGAACUCUGAUGCAGCGACGCCGCGUGAGUGAAGAAGUAAUUCAUUAUGUAAAGCUCUAUCAGCAAGGAAGGUAGUGACGGUACCUAACUAAGAAGCUCCGGCUAAAUACGUG